ACGAAGGGGUGGACCUGGAGCGAAUCUCAGAAAUAAACGUCUCAGUUCGGAUUGUAGUCUGCAACUCGACUACAUGAAGCUGGAAUCGCUAGUAAUCGCGGAUCAGAAUGCCGCGGUGAAUACGUUCCCGGGUCUUGUACACACCGCCCGUCACACCAUGGGAGUCGGGAAUGCCCGAAGCCAGUGACCCAAGCGAGAGCAGGGAGCUGUCGAAGGCAGGCCGGAUAACUGGGGUGAAGUCGUAACAAGGUAAC
rnacentral:rRNA from 1 species